GGGAGCAGAACCGUUGCUUUGAUCAACAACAGGCCACUCUCACAAGGACAGACCCAUUCGAUAUAUUGUCUGGUGACGCCAUGGCCAUCGGAGUUUGAGCAGUCUACUCCACACACUGUCCACGUGAUGGGAAAUGGCCUUUGUCAGCUCACGCCAUGCUCUUCCUUAAGGACUGUUUGUCAACAGGAGUGCACUCUGUUUCUUAAGGUUGUGAUGACCUUGGCUGCCAAAGCUUCCUGGAAGACUAAGGAAACCGGCUUAAGGAGCAUGAGGAACUCGCCCAAGGCCAUGUAACUACCUCAGCGGCAAGGCUGGGCCCUGGCCUUAGCAACCACCCUGUGCCUCACCUUCGUCAUCGAGAAGUACUGAAGUCCAAGUUGCCACAGGGCCUAGGGGAGAAUGAACAAACCAGUCUAAAUCCCAGUUCUUCAGGAUUUUUUUCUUGCUGCUUUAACAGAAUGCCUGAUGUUAGAUAGUUAUAUAAAAUAGAAGGCCAUUUGUCUGUCAGUGCUGAAGUGGGGAAGUCCAGGGGUAUGCCAAUGGUAAAUGUGACAGUCACCUCAGACUCGAAGGCAAAAAUACAAUCAUGGGCGAGAAAAUC
rnacentral:lncRNA from 1 species